GACGAACGGUGCGAACGUUGUUCGGAAUCACUGGGCUUAAAGGGCGUGUAGGCGGCUGUUCAAGUCCGGGGUGAAAUCCUCCAGCUUAACUGGAGAGGUGCCUUGGAUACUGAUUUGCUCGAGGGAGGUAGGGGUCGAGGGAACUUCUGGUGGAGCGGUGAAAUGCGUUGAUAUCAGAAGGAACGCCGGUGGCGAAAACGCUCGACUGGAUCGCUUCUGACGCUGAGGCGCGAAAGCUAGGGGAGCAAACGGG
rnacentral:rRNA from 1 species